GUCUGGAUAGCUCAGUUGGUUAGAGCAUGGCACCGAUAACGCCAAGGUUGCAGGUUCGAUCCCUGUAAGGGACA